GCCCCGGUGGCUUGGUCGGUUAAGCACUCGACUUCAGCCCGGGUCAUGAUGUCACCGUCCGUGGGUUCAAGCCCCACGUCGGGCU
rnacentral:tRNA from 1 species